UACGUAGGGGGCAAGCGUUGUCCGGAUUUAUUGGGCGUAAAGAGCGUGUAGGCGGCCAGACAGGUCCGUUGUGAAAACUCGAGGCUCAACCUCGAGACGCCGAUGGAAACCGUCUGGCUAGAGUCCGGAAGAGGAGAGUGGAAUUCCUGGUGUAGCGGUGAAAUGCGCAGAUAUCAGGAAGAACACCCGUGGCGAAGGCGGUUCUCUGGGACGGUACUGGCGCUGAGACGCGAAAGCGUGGGGAGCGAACAGG
rnacentral:rRNA from 1 species